CAUUACCGAGGGGGGGACUCUGUUCCAUCCUAAACCGUGGUCUCUGUACUUUGUUGCUUUGGCGGUCCCACGGGGAAACCCGGUCGCCGGGGGACGCUCGUCCCCGGGCCCGCGCCCGCCGAAGCGCCCUGUGAACCCUGAUGAAGAUGGGCUGUCUGAGUAUUAUGAAAAUUGUCAAAUCUUUCAACCAUGGAUCUCUUGGUUCCGGCUUGGAUGAUUAGCGAUUCGAAAUGCGAUGAGUGAUGGGAAGUGCAGAAUUCCGUGAAUCAUCGAAUCUUUGAACGCAAUUUGCGUCCCCUGGCAUUCCGGGGGGCAUGCCUGUCCGAGCGUCAUUUCUGCCCUCAAGCGCGGCUUGUGUGUUGGGUGCGGUCCCCCCGGGAACGUGCCCGAAAGGUCGUCGGAACGUCCGUGCGGUCCUCGAGCGUAUGGGGCUUUGUCCCUCUGACGUUAAGGACCUGCGGGGGUUGGUCACCACCACAUUUUACCACGGUUGACCUCGGAUCAGGUAGGAGUUACCCGCUGAACUUAAGCAUAUCAAUAAGCGGAGGAA
rnacentral:rRNA from 1 species